rnacentral:rRNA from 1 species
AUUGAACGCUGGCGGCAUGCCUUACACAUGCAAGUCGAACGGCAGCACGGGAGCAAUCCUGGUGGCGAGUGGCGAACGGGUGAGUAAAGUAUCGGAACGUGCCCAGCCGUGGGGGAUAACGUAGCGAAAGUUACGCUAAUACCGCAUACGAUCUAUGGAUGAAAGCGGGGGAUCGCAAGACCUCGCGCGAUUGGAGCGGCCGAUAUCAGAUUAGGUAGUUGGUGGGGUAAAGGCUCACCAAGCCGACGAUCUGUAGCUGGUCUGAGAGGACGACCAGCCACACUGGGACUGAGACACGGCCCAGACUCCUACGGGAGGCAGCAGUGGGGAAUUAUGGACAAUGGGCGAAAGCCUGAUCCAGCCAUGCCGCGUGCAGGAUGAAGGCCUUCGGGUUGUAAACUGCUUUUGUACGGAACGAAAAGGUUUGGCCUAAUAAGCUGAGCUCAUGACGGUACCGUAAGAAUAAGCACCGGCUAACUACGUGCCAGCAGCCGCAGUAA